AUUGAACGCUGGCGGCAUGCCUAACACAUGCAAGUCGAACGGGGCAGCAAUGCCUAGCGGCGGACGGGUGAGGAAUACGUAGGAAUCUGCCCUUAAGUGGGGGAUAACCAGGGGAAACCCUGACUAAUACCGCAUGAUCUCUUCGGAGCAAAGAGGGGGACCGCAAGGCCUCUCGCUUCUGGAUGAGCCUACGUCUGAUUAGCUAGUUGGUAGGGUAAGGGCCUACCAAGGCGACGAUCAGUAACUGGUCUGAGAGGAUGAUCAGUCACACCGGAACUGAGACCAGGUCCGGACUCCUACGGGGGGCAGCAGUGGGGAAUAUUGGACAAUGGGCGCAAGCCUGAUCCAGCAAUGCCGCGUGUGUGAAGAAGGCCUUCGGGUUGUAAAGCACUUUAGCCUGGAAAGAAAAAACUUUGGUUAAUACUCGGUGGGGAUGACGGUACCCAAAGAAUAAGCACCGGCUAACUUCGUGCCAGCAGCCGCAGUAAUAC
rnacentral:rRNA from 1 species